rnacentral:snRNA from 1 species
AGCUUUGCACAGUGGCAGUAUCGUAGCCAAUGAGAUUUACUGAGGUGCGAUUAUUGCUAAUUGAAAACUUUUCCCAACUAAUUAAAUUAUAAUAUUCUGAUUAUACAAAAUAGCAGUUCUACUUAUAGA